rnacentral:lncRNA from 1 species
UUUGGGAGGCUGAGGCAGGCAGAUCACCUAAGGCCAGGAAUUCGACACCAGCCUGGCCAACGUGGCAAAACCCGUCUCUACUAAAAAUACAAAAAUUAGCCGGGCGUGGUGGUGUGCGCCUGGAAUCCCAGCUACCCAGGAGGCUGAGGCAGGAGAAAUGCUGGAACCCGGGAGGCAGAGGCUGCAGUGAGCUGAGAUCAUGCCACUACUGCACUCCAGCCUGGGUGACACAGCAAGACUCCCUCUAAAAAAAGAAAAAAAGAAAAGAAAAGAAAAGAAAAUGAUAUAUCCAUGAUGAAUUAAAAUGGAGUGGAACCCACUGAUGGGAAAGCCACAGAAGGUACCAGUUAUCCACUCACUGACUUAGGUGCCUCCACUAGAAUUCUCAGCACGUUUUUGCAGAACCUGGGCAACAAGAGCGAAACCCCAUCUCAAAACCACAACAACAACAACAGGACAACAGAGAUGGACGACGGAUCGGGAAAGCCAACCAGACAGCGUGAGGCCAGGACGGAAAGAGGCACAGGGAGCUCUGCUCAGUGUCGCUACAGGGGAUCUCUCAGGCUCACAACGGGCCACUCCUCUAGGGAAGUUCUGGUCUCAUCAUGAUCCUUGUUUGGUCUCACUCCCCAUGUCCUUCUCUGUCCCUCCUCCAACUGCCAUUUAUUUAUUUAACUGAAAAAGUACCAAUCACCCACAUAGGCAUGACAUACUCAUCCAUGUACCCAUUUCUUAAAAUUGAUCAUUGUUAACAUUUGGUGUAAUUUGCUUUAUUUAUUUUUAAUGAAAUAAAUAAAACUUUACAGAAAAUGCUUUAUUUUUCUCUUUGUUCCCUCCCCAUCCUAUAUUUUUCUCCUAAAAAACCCUAUUAUCAGAAAUAUUAGUGUGUAUUCCCAGUUUCGACUUUUUAUUUUAUUACACACACACUCCCACACAUAGCUGUGACAAUGAACUUCACAUAGUAUGGUUCUGUAUUUUCUCUUUGUUUUUCAAACUUACAUAAGUAUUUUACUAUUUCUCAUGGAAAAACUCACUUUUCCCAUCCAACGUUAUGUUUCCUUAAGAUCUCUCUAUGUUGAUAUAAAGAAAUCUAGCUCAUUCUUUUUAAUGAAAAUAAAGUAUAUUUUAUGAAUGUAACUCAUGCUAACCAUGGCAAUAAAAGCUCCAUCAAGCAUGCAUUUAGU